rnacentral:rRNA from 1 species
AGUGAACGCUGGCGGUAGGCCUAACACAUGCGAGUCGAACGGCAGCACAGUAAGAGCUUGCUCUUACGGGUGGCGAGUGGCGGACGGGUGAGGAAUACAUCGGAAUCUACUUUUUCGUGGGGGAUAACGUAGGGAAACUUACGCUAAUACCGCAUACGACCUACGGGUGAAAGCAGGGGAUCUUCGGACCUUGCGCGAUUGAAUGAGCUGAUGUCGGAUUAGCUAGUUGGCGGGGUAAAGGCCCACCAAGGCGACGAUCCGUAGCUGGUCUGAGAGGAUGAUCAGCCAACCUGGAACUGGGACACGGUCCAGACUCCUACGGGAGGCAGCAGUGGGGAAUAUUGGACAAUGGGCGCAAGCCUGAUCCAGCCAUACCGCGUGGGUGAAGAAGGCCUUCGGGUUGUAAAGCCCUUUUGUUGGGAAAGAAAAGCAGCAGGUUAAUACCCCGCUGUUCUGACGGUACCCAAAGAAUAAGCACCGGCUAACUUCGUG